rnacentral:rRNA from 1 species
UACAGGGGGUGCAAACGUUGCUCGGAAUCAUUGGGCGUAAAGCGCACGUAGGCGGUCUGUUAUGUCGGAUGUGAAAGCCCUCGGCUCAACUGAGGAAGUGCAUCCGAAACUGGCAGGCUAGAGUACUAAAGAGGGUCGCGGAAUUCCCGGUGUAGAGGUGAAAUUCGUAGAUAUCGGGAGGAACACCGGUGGCGAAGGCGGCGACCUGGGGUAGAUACUGACGCUGAGGUGCGAAAGCGUGGGGAGCAAACAGG